GUUCUGAAAAGAAACGCUAAUACCGCAUGAGACUACAGAGCUGCAUGGCUCAGUGGUCAAAGGAGCAAUCCGCUGAAAGAUGGACUCGCGUCCGAUUAGAUAGUAGGCGGGGUAACGGCCCACCUAGUCGACGAUCGGUAGCCGGACUGAGAGGUUGAACGGCCACAUUGGGACUGAGACACGGCCCAGACUCCUACGGGAGGCAGCAUG
rnacentral:rRNA from 1 species